rnacentral:lncRNA from 1 species
UGGGAUAGGUCCAUACGAGUUAGGAAAUAAUCAAUUUGGAUUUUAUGAUCCUUGUUCAAUCGAUGUUAAUAUGACUUUUAUAACUUACCGUUGUUCUAAAACCUUUUUUUUUUUUUCAAUUUAGAUUCCUAAUUACUGUCAAAUAAAUGAAAUUCAACUUAGUUUCAAGUCUUAACUUUUAAAUCCUUACUACUCCUUGUAGAUUUGUCUUAGA